ACCUGCAACUUCGUAGCUAACUUGUUGGCCUUCGCUUGUAUCGACAACGCAUUGAAAUACUGUUUGUUGUGGAGCUUCCUCGCCCUGCUCGGUCGGUCGAACGACGUGUUCGCUUGUGUUAACAACACACUCGAAUGCGGCUUGCCCACCAGCUUGUUCCAAAGCUUGUUGCUGAUUUUGUACUACACAAUUCAAAGCUUCGAUGAUAAUAUUGUACUCGACCGGUAUUUCUUCCAUGAUAUCCAAAAAAAUUUCCUUCAAAGAAGCGAAUUUUAUAAAGCACGCUCCUGAAAAUGGAAAUC